rnacentral:lncRNA from 1 species
CACUAACAGAUCAAGACCAUCUGGGUUCAAGCGAAGUCUUUGCCUCUUCCUCUCUGUUUGUGGGCUCAUUUCUUAACCAUUGUCAGCUUCACUUGGCUCAUCUGUAAAAUGAAGAAAAUAAUAACUGCCCUGCAGUUAUUGUGAAGAUCAAAUGCAAUAAGGUAUGUGAAAGUGCUUUGUAAACUAAAAGGCAAAUUAACAAUAACCUGAUGUAUCCUUUUUAGGUGCAAGGUCAGCGUCUGUAGGACCUCGGGGUGACACCCCCCUCCCGCCCCCACCCCCAGCCCAGCGCCUGGGAGAACAGCUCCAAGCCUGGCCCCCAGGCUUCCUGGGCAGAGGAAGGCGUGCUCCGCAGGCCCACAAUGCAGGGAAGAUGCUAUCCUCUCCGGCAGGCGGGGUGCCCCACUGCACACAGGCCUCAUUG